AGGUGGAUCUUACAAGAUCAAUAAAGACGCAAUGAUGAGUAUAAUCAGAAUGUGUGAGAUUGAUGACCUGAGUGCUAUUGUCGAGGAACAGAUAAUUUUUGACAUGUAUAUACCCUGUCCGAAGCUACAGGCUUACAUGGUACAGUGUGUACCAUUGUUACAGAAGUUCCUGUAUAAUAAUUAUGCCAGUGUAUACAGCUAUGGAAGUAUCUACCAGAACUUAAUAUCAGCUGGUAUAGUGGAAACAUUGGCCAAACUUCGAUGUGUUGAG
rnacentral:lncRNA from 1 species